rnacentral:rRNA from 1 species
UGGGUAACCUGCCUCAAAGAGGGGAAUAGCCUCCCGAAAGGGAGAUUAAUACCGCAUAAUAUGUUUAGGUCGCAUGACUUUAACAUCAAAGGAUUUCUUUUAGAAAUUCCACUUUGAGAUGGACCCGCGGCGCAUUAGCUAGUUGGUGAGGUAACGGCUCACCAAGGCAACGAUGCGUAGCCGACCUGAGAGGGUNAUCGGCCACAUUGGAACUGACGACACGGUCCAGCUCCGUAGGACG